rnacentral:lncRNA from 1 species
AAAAAAAAAAACAACCAUUUGUUACAAAAAGAAGUUUCGAACUCUUAACCUGAGCCCUUUUUCUCAUGCUCAACUCAGUAUGACACCAUUGGACUAUGACUCAUGUUUUUUCUAUUAUGGGAAAAAUACCUUCUUAUAAAGUUUGUACCAAGUCUUUUGAAAAUUUGGAAAUUAUGAUACAGAGAAGUUCUGUCUAAGGUAAUUGGAAUUUAAGCGGGACCAUUUGUGACCCCUCCAAUUUCCUGGGAACUGAAUAUUCUGUCUAAGGAAGCUAGUCCUGGUCUGGGUCAUUAUACCCCACUAGGCUUUCCUGGGAAUACUCUGUAAAGUGAUUUUCAGUUUUUUUUUUUAAGUUUUUGAAGAAAAAAAAAAAAAAAAAAAGGAAAAGGAAAAAGAAAUUGACACAUUUUCUUGGAUGUUUCAGGAAAAUGACAACUGAAUCCGAUAACGUUGUUGUAACUGAAUUAGCCCCAGUGGCAACCCCUACUGUGGCC